CACGUAGGGUGCAAGCGUUGUCCGGAAUCAUUGGGCGUAAAGAGCUCGUAGGCGGCUUAGUAAGUCGGGUGUGAAAACCCCAGGCUCAACCUGGGGACGCCACCCGAUACUGCUAUAGCUAGAGUCCGGAAGAGGCGAGUGGAAUUCCCGGUGUAGCGGUGAAAUGCGCAGAUAUCGGGAGGAACACCAAUGGCGAAGGCAGCUCGCUGGGACGGUACUGACGCUGAGACGCGAAAGCUAGGGGAGCAAACGGG
rnacentral:rRNA from 1 species